rnacentral:tRNA from 1 species
AAAAGUUCUGCAGGCAU